rnacentral:rRNA from 1 species
GAGUCGGACCUGCCCAGUGAAUUAACUUUUCAACGGCCGCGGUACUCUGACCGUGCAAAGGUAGCAUAAUCAUUUGCCCUAUAAUUGAGGGCUAGUAUGAAUGGUUUGACGUGAGCAAAGCUGUCUCUGUAUAAAUUUUUAGAAUUUGAUUUUUAGGUGAAGAAACCUAAAUUUAAUUGAUAGACAAGAAGACCCUAUUGAGCUUUAAAAGAGUAGAUAGAAAAUAAUAUAUAAUUCUAAAUAUUAAUCUGUCUUAAAUUUUGGUUGGGGCGACUAAGGAACAAACAAAGCUUCUUUACUAUUUUAGUACCCGCAAGUCAUGAUCCAGGAAUCCUGAUUAAUGAAAUUAGUUACCAUAGGGAUAACAGCAUAAUUUUCUUUGAGAGUCCUUAUCGAAAAGAAAGUUUGUGACCUCGAUGUUGGACUAGAAUAUCCUGAAGAUGCAGCAGUCUUUAAGGGUUGGUC